UCCCCCAUCUAGCGGAUCUAGGCGCUGGUCUUCUAAACCGGCUAGAGGAGUUCGACUCUCCUAUGGGGGU
rnacentral:tRNA from 1 species